GACGGACGCUGGCGGCGUGCUUAACACAUGCAAGUCGAACGAUGAAGCCGCUUCGGUGAUGGAUUAGUGGCGAACGGGUGAGUAACACGUGGGCAAUCUGCCCUGCACUCUGGGACAAGCCCUGGAAACGGGGUCUAAUACCGGAUACGACCAUCGGCCGCAUGGCCUGGUGGUGGAAAGCUCUGGUGGUGCAGGAUGAGCCCGCGGCCUAUCAGCUUGUUGGUGGGGUGAUGGCCUACCAAGGCGACGACGGGUAGCCGGCCUGAGAGGGCGACCGACCACACUGGGACUGAGACACGGCCCAGACUCCUACGGGAGGCAGCAGUGGGGAAUAUUGCACAAUGGGCGGAAGCCUGAUGCAGCGACGCCGCGUGAGGGAUGACGGCCUUCGGGUUGUAAACCUCUUUCAGCAGGGAAGAAGCUUUCGGGUGACGGUACCUGCAGAAGAAGCACCGGCUAACUACGUGCCAGCCGCCGCAGUAA
rnacentral:rRNA from 1 species